AUUUUUACUGUCUCUUGGAAAGUCACAUUGCGAUAAUCAAGACAUAGGAAUGGAUUUUAAGUGGAAUUCUAUUGUUUCCAAUAGGCUUUGAAUCAAGACCAUUUUGAGAGGAAAACUGAUGACAUGGAAGAUACACAAAAAGGUCAGAGGUGGAGAUAAAAGGGAACUUUUCUUCAUUCCCAAUCUAUGCAACUUUUCAUAAAUUACAGAAGGUUCACUGAAGCCAAGAGGCCCAGCAGGAACAAGAUGUAUUAGAAAGCUGUUGAGCCUGAGGUACCUGCUCUGCAGACUCCAAGGAGGAUUCACUUUCCACUUGACUACUUUCACCAUCCCUCUUUUUUAAGCUGCAACUGUUGCUGUUGUGCCUUGUAUUUAAUGAGGCCAGAAAUGCACAGCAUGGAAAAAGAUCUUACACUGAAAGCAGAAAUCUAAAGGAAAGAAGAGUGAUACAGCUACAUAUAUACAUCAGGCUAGAAAAAAAG
rnacentral:lncRNA from 1 species